AUGAAGUCCUGAUACAUGCUGUAAGAAUUACCCUACAAAACAUCCUAAGUGAAAGAAACCCAUGAUAAAAGGCAUCUAUUGUAUUAUUCCAUUUACAUGAAUUAUCCAGAACAGGGGAAUCCAUAGAAACAGAAUACAAAUCAGUGGUUGACAGGGAUAGGGGAAAGUAGGGGUGACUGCUUAAUGAAUGCAGGAUUUAUUUUGGGGGCGAUAGCAAUGUUCUGGAACUAGGUAGUGGUAAUGCCUGCACAACAUUAUGAAUUUUCUGUUGGUAGGACAGCCGUAGAGGCCAUGGGUCGUGGCAAUCUUCUCACAUCAGUCAGCCGAGGCAUCAUCAUCCUGUCCUUAAUGGCCUUAGCAGGUCCAGGGGCUAUGUGGUUUCCAAUCCACCUGCAGGUGACAGUGUUGCAGGCAUAGGGCCAGGGGCCAAAAAUCAAGGACUUGAAGGUUCAAGCAACGUGUACUCGUUGAUUCAGGUGGGUAAGUAGAAGUAUGCCACCUCAGUGUCAGAGGAGGAGGCCACCUUUGAGCUGCUGCUGCUACUGUACUUGGGCUUCGCCGAGGUGUACCUGCAGAAGCUGCACCCAGACUAGGGGAGCAGGAAGAUGCAGUGGUAUAUCUUGAAAUCCAAACCAGGAGAGAAGGAUAAAGAGGAGAAAUUGAGGUUGACAUCCAGUUUAUGAGAAACAACAUGACUGCCAGCAUGUUUUGCCUUUUCAUCAAAGACAAGCUUCGGAAUCCAUUUGGAAAACUUAAAGACAAGAUCAAGGGGAAUAAUACAGAGAGUGCAUCAGAUGCUGCCUCCACCAUUCCUGAUCCAUGAUUGCCCUGCCGACUUCAAAGCUAAAGUGCUGCUUCAACUGGGAGACUUUCAGUCCCGGUGGGACAAUGACAACAAUGAGAGGGACUCCUCUUCAGCUUCAGAUGUCAUGUCUCACGAGACAAUAGCAGGUACAUAUCUUAAGCAGCUAAACGAAAUCAACAUCACCCUUCCCAAAAUGGAAGGACUUUCCUUUCUUGGGGGUCUUCGGUCUACGAAUGAAGUCCUUUCCCACUCUAAUGUCUGUAUCAAUGGGAACCAUGUUUAACUGGAGCAGUCAGAAGCCAAGGGUGAGAACAAGUAUAGCAGUCCUUCUUCCUACCUGAAGCCCCAGGGCUUCAGGAAGAAGCGUUUGUUCUUAUCUACCAAAAACCUGGCUGCUCAGUCUUGAAAGUAACCUGGGGAAGGAAGUGGGAUGUCUCAUGACAGGUGGCUCUUUGAGUCUUCCACCAAGAACUCUCUGAAGUCCAUGUCUCUACCAUCCUACUGACCACUGUUCUGUGGAGACAUUAGAGAAAACAGGGCUCCAGCAAACUUGGAAGCUGCAAAAGAAACCAAAGAGAGCAAGAAGCAGAAUAACGUCUUCUUUGCUUUCUCGGGUGACGGGGAAGAAGGAUAUGGCUAAGAACAGUGAAGGUGAAAACCCUCUUACCAUCCUGGGGAAGAAGGAAGGCAUGCUUACGGAGGUCAAGCCGGGUAGGAUGAUUCAGGGCCUGUUGAAGACCUUACGAGAAGACUGGAGAAAGAUACUGCAGCUAUUGUCUCCAGAAGGGGUAACUCUCUGAACCCCUUUGAAGAUGCGCAGAUCACAGAACCAAAAGCUGACCAAGAAUCCAAGUCUGAACAGAAUCACCAAUUCUGUGAUGGCUCCAAAAACCAGAGCAGUCAAACCUUGACUUCAUCCUGAAGUCAGUGAACACAAUGGCCACCAAGAUCGCUAUCUCUAGCUUGGGAACUGUCACCAUCAUCAGGGAGAACUUGAUCAACAAGACCAUGAUGAAGAAAAACAACCCCUUGGAUUCUGCUUUUGCGUAUGCACAGCUAACCCAGAAUGAGAUGAUCCAGCUGCUCCUCAAACAGAAGAAAACAAUAAUAAGCAAGAAGGAUUUCCAGGAUCCUAAGCUGGAAGACUACACUGACAACCUGCCAAUCAGUCAUGGAAGAAACCCCCACGCUCCACAUCCAGGCUCACGUUAGCAAAAAAAGCAGGAAAGAUGUAAAUCACCAGAAUAAAACAUGGGCAUGUUUCCGUGAGUUUGUUUCCACCUGUUCUUGAGGUUAAGGACUCGCUAUGCCUCAUAACCAGCUAGCAGGUUCCGAAUCAUCAUCUCCCUCACAUGUUAUCUGGCAAGAGUCAAUUUUACCAAUUGAAGCCAGGUUAAUAAUUACAGUGAAUCUUUUACUAUGGGUCCCCAAGACUUUAUUUUUAAAUGCCACUUUGCCUUUAACUAAAUUGUAAAUAUUUUAUGGCCACCAGAGACGUGAUCAUAAGUUCUGAUCCUGAGCCAGAGAUUCAGAUGGCACAGGAGGUAUUAAUGUGUUUCAACACUGGGGUUUUCUUUCACGUUGAGAUUUUUUUUUAAUAUAUAUCCUCCAGCUAUUAAAGCUUACCUGAGAAAGCUUUAAAUAAGAAAAGGACAAUAGGCCGGGCGCGGUGGCUCAAGCCUGUAAUCCCAGCACUUUGGGAGGCCGAGACAGGUGGAUCACGA